GCGUACACAAUCUACCUUAUAGAGAAGGACAGCCCUGGGAAACUGGGAUUAAUACUUCAUGUUCUUAUAAAGUGGCAUCACUUAAUAAGCAAAGCUUCGGUGCUAUAAGAUGAGUGUGCGUUCCAUUAGAUAGUUGGUAAGGUAACGGCUUACCAAGUCGAUGAUGGAUAGGGGGCGUGAGAGCGUGAUCCCCCACACGGGUACUGAGACACGGACCCGACUCCUACGGGAGGCAGCAGUAAGGAAUAUUGGACAAUGGAGGCAACUCUGAUCCAGCCAUCCCGCGUGCAGGAUGACGGC
rnacentral:rRNA from 1 species